GUGCUCACUUNGGCGGCACAUGUACUAAAACUGGAAUGAAACAGGGAAGUUUAGCAUGGUCCCCACGCAAGGAUGACGUGCAAAUUCGUGAGGCAUUCCAUAAGUUA
rnacentral:snRNA from 1 species